AAUCAACGCUGGCGGCGUGCCUAACACAUGCAAGUCGAACGCGAAAGUCCCGCAAGGGAUAAGUAGAGUGGCAAACGGGUGAGUAACACGUGGGUGACCUGCCUUCGAGCGGGGGAUAACGUCCCGAAAGGGACGCUAAUACCGCAUGACAUCCUGCCUUUGAAGAGGUGGAGAUCAAAGCUGGGGGAUCGCAAGACCUAGCACUCGAAGAGGGGCCCGCGCCUGAUAGCUAGUUGGUGGGGUAAUGGCUCACCAAGGCAACGAUCAGUAGCCGGCCUGAGAGGGCGGACGGCCACACUGGGACUGAGACACGGCCCAGACUCCUACGGGAGGCAGCAGUGGGGAAUUGUUCGCAAUGGGCGCAAGUCUGACGACGCAACGCCGCGUGGAGGACGAAGACCUCGGUCGU
rnacentral:rRNA from 1 species